CACGUAGGGACCAAGCGUUGUCCGGAUUUAUUGGGCGUAAAGCGCUCGUAGGCGGUUCGGUAAGUCGGGUGUGAAACCCCUGGGCUCAACCCGGGGACGCCACCCGAUACUGCUGUGACUCGAGUUCGGUAGGGGAGCGGGGAAUUCCUGGUGUAGCGGUGAAAUGCGCAGAUAUCAGGAAGAACACCCGUGGCUAAGGCGGCUCUCUAGUACGGUACUGACGCUGAGACGCGAAAGCGUGGGGAGCGAACAGG
rnacentral:rRNA from 1 species